rnacentral:rRNA from 1 species
AACGUAGGACGCAAGCGUUAUCCGGAGUUACUGGGCGUAAAGCGCGGGCAGGCGGUUGCUCAAGUCUGAUGUGAAAUCUCUCCGCUCAACGGGGAGCAGCCAUUGGAAACUGGGCGACUGGAGUCUGGCAGAGGUAGGCGGAAUUCCGGGUGGAGUGGUGAAAUGCGUAGAGAUCCGGAGGAACACCAGAGGCGAAGGCGGCCUACUGGGCCAGAACUGACGCUGAGCCGCGAAAGCCAGGGGAGCGAACGGG